AAGCAGAACGGCCGUGAGGGGAAAGGAGGCGGAAGCAGAACCCCUAAAAUGGCGGCGCUGGGGCUGCGAGCCCCGGGGCUGCUCCCGCCGCUCCGGGCCCCUCUGCGGGGCUGCCUCGGCCCGUGCCGGCUCCCGGGGAGCCCCGGGGCGGUUCCGGUCUCGGUUCCGGUGCCGGUUCCGGUUCCGGUGCGGGCCAUGGCCGGGCACAACCGCUGGUCCAAGGUGCGCAACGUGAAGGGGCCGCGGGACGCGGAGCGGAGCCGCCUCUUGGAGAAAAUGGCGCGGAUGCUGCGGGCGGCCGCCAGAGAGGGGGGCCCGGAUCCGUCGCUGAACCCCGGCCUGGCGGCGGUGGUGGCGCAGUGCCGGACACUGAACGUGCCCAAAGCCACCAUCGAGGGGGCCCUGCGGUCAGUGAGGGAGCGUCCGGCCGGGGGGUCGCAGCUGCUGCUGACCGCCCGGGGGCCCGGGGGGGUCACUCGUGCUGCUGGACGUCCGAACCGACAACGUCCGGCGCAGCCAGGCCGAGCUGCGGACACUGCUGCAACGCCACGGGGCCGCGCUGACCCCUGAUGUCCAUCACGCCUUCGAGGCCGUGGGCGUGGUCCGAGUGUCCGGCCGGACGCUGGGCCUGGAGGCCGCGCUGGACGUGGCCGCAGUGGCCGGAGCCCAGGACGUGGCCGAGGACGAGGACGAGCUCAAGUUCCUGUGCGCCCCCUCGGCCCUGGGCAGUGUCCGGCAGCACCUGGUGGCCGCAGGGCUCCGGCCGAUUUCGGCCACCCUGGAGUUCCGGCCGCGGUCAGCGCUGGCCCUGCCGG